GCCAGCUGAAGAAAGCGCUCGGAGAAGCCACUCGUAUUGUAAAUAGAAUCCAUCUUCGCAAUGAGGCCAAGACUACAACUUUGGAAAAGCUGGUUCCUCAUUUGGGAACUCUAGAAGCAGUUAGGGACCAGCUGCAUGAGGCCAAGGAGUGCG